AUACCAUGAUGCGGGCAUUUCCAAAGCAACUCCUUAAACCUUUCCCAAGCAUCGUAUAAAUACUCCUCCUCCAACUGAUGGAAAUUAUUAAUCUCUACUCUAAUUCA